rnacentral:lncRNA from 1 species
GACACACGCACCCAAAAAUACAUGUAUUGCCCUAAAACUGCCACAAAAUUCUGUCUACUAUUAAUGCUGUGGCUCCCUUCCAUCAAUUAUAGUUCCAGCACUUGCUCUUGAUCCAGUUAUGAGCUCAUCACCCUCGCAUUUUGCAUCCACCACUUCUCCUGCCAUUCCAAUUCAAUAUACAUUGCAUCAGUUUUCAUUUGAUGAAGCUACAAACAUGGACAUUUACGUCAAAUUAACUACAGAACAUCUGGACUGACUAGUUAUGUAUAGACUGAUCAGUUUACACUGAUAAUUUGAUAUUUUUUCAUACACGUGGGGUGGAAAGAGAGAGAGAGAGAGAGAGAGAGAGAGAGAGAGAGAGAGAGAGGGCCCCAACUUUGAGAUAGUGACUAUCACUCUCAAGUGACUUUUCCUAUUAAUGCGUUGGGAACACUUACAGCAAAAGAUAGAAGGCCAAGAUGGGACUUGAGGACCAAGACGUGUGCGGUUCAUAUUUCCAAAACUGUUACUUAUGACAUCUCUUUUCUACACUUGUAAGUUUGGGAUGAAUAGG